ensembl:lncRNA
GCGAGGCCCCUCCGCCUAGGGCUGGGGACAGGACCCAGAAAUGUCGCGGUUCAAACAGAGGCACCAACACAAUAUAGGAUCCCUCAGCAACAACGGAGCCAGAAAAGGCAGUGUGUGCCCUGUGUGCAGUGUUGGCUUUCACCAUGCAAGUGUAUUGAGUUUAUGUACCUGUUGAUCCAUGGACGUGUCUGAUGACUGGGUAUGUACAAGUAUGCAUAUGUUUGUGCUUUCUGUGUGAAUACAUGCUUGUGUGUUGAUGUAAAUCUGCAUGAGUGUGUGGGAUGUGUGUGCACGUUUCUGUAGGAUGCGAGUGUGCCCUGUAGGUGCAUCUUAAAGUAGGAAUGUGGAUGGGUGAAAUGUGUAUGUGUGGGAUGCUGUGGGAAUGAGUGUUUUGUGUGCCUGUGUGGAGAUCUACAAAUGUGUGUACAUGGGUGAAUCUGUACGUGAAGCGUGUGCGUGCACGUGUGAUAUGUGUGGUGUGUAUGAGUGUGUGUGGUUGCAGGUAUGUGCAUGCACAAACGUACCCUUGUUGUCCUUUUCUUUCCUUUCCUCCUGGGGAACUACAGAGCUUCUAAGUCCUAACCGUGGCUGGUGGCUCUUCCAGGAACAUGGUUUCCUGGACUUGAAGAGUGAGAACGUCAGAGGCCCCACGUGAGUGAGGAAGGGAGGUGGGCCCGAGGCCUGGGCUCCUCCGAGAACUGGGCGGAGGCCCCAAGGGCCACGGCUGCAGGCCAGCCUGGUGAAGGGGCUGGGACACCCAGGGCCUCAGCACCCCCUGCAUGCCCUGGGGAGUAUUGCUGCCACCUCUGGUCUUCAGUCUGCCCCUCAGUGGCUUUUAAAGCCUUUUUUGGUGGGGGGAGUAGAGCCAAAAGAAAAUCUCACAAGGAUGCCUGCUGUGGAAAGCAGAUGAACAAGUGGGAAGGCUCGGGUAGGGAGGGCCUGGGAAGCAUCUCCAUGGAAGAUAGGGCUAAGCUCCCAGCCCGGCUAUCCCUGGGCCUGCUCAGUUUACAUUCCAGUUUGCAGUUUAACAACACACCUCCAAGCGUAAUCUCAGCUAAUCCUCAUGAACUGCUUCCAGGCUGUGUGGGGAGCUGGAAGCAGGGCGGGGACAUGGACUGGCCCUGGUUCCACUCCUGCUCCCUCUUCUAGCUGAGCAACGUCUGCGCCCCCAGCCUCUCUCACAGCGGGGAUCAUGUGAGACCACGCAAGUUGACACCGUGUUCCGUCCACACCUGGCACACAGUAAGCCGUUGUGCUAAGAUUAUCACUUUACAGAUGGGGAAACUGAGACCUGGAGAGGCUCUCUGACUUUGUCCGAAGUCAACCUAGAGAUGCUGGAAAAGACUGAGGCCCAUCCUGACCUCAGAUGUCCACCGUCUGUCACGAGAAGUGUUUUCUUGUUCCUCCGAGCUUGGCCAGGCCGUGGUAAACCCCACAUGUGGUUCUGUGGUUGCCCACACAGACCUAAAAAUAGCCAACAGGAGCCCGGGGACUCCCCCCUUGGUAAAUGGCAGAAGGCCCAGUCCUCGGGCAGCCACGGACCUGCUCUGCCCCACAGACGAGCGGGUCCUGUCUAGGGAGGGCGGGGCGGCCUGGGUACCGCGUGUGAUGUGCCAGAGCCUGUGCCGAGCUGGUAACACAGAUUAUUUUAUUUCAUUGGUUUGGUGUGUUUUUUAGAGUCUGUGAUGGCCCAUUGGACAGACAUGGAAAUUGAGGCUCAGAGAGAUGAAGUGACCUGCCCAGGGUCAAGGAGCUUCAGUGAGAACCCAAGUUGUUCUGGUCCAAGGCCUGUGUUCUUAAUCCCUCACCCCCUCAGUCCUUCCCUAUCCUGAGCCUGGGGGCAGCUGGUGCAGGGGCGAGAGCAGGAGCUUUGGAGCCACAGACCUGGCCUCAGAUCCCAGCCUCACUGGGGCCUCCGUGUGGCCUCGGUGAGUCUUCAGCCUCAGUCUCCUCACCUACAAUCAGGGGCCACAUUGCCACUAUGUGGAUCCUGGUGGGGAUCGAAUGCAAUAAGGCAUGGAAGCACCCGGGGAGGGCCUGGCAUGCAGUGAGAGCUCACUGUCUCCACCCCCAACUACUCAGGACCACGCUUCCAAGGCAGGGCUGAGAGAGGCUGUGUGGGCUGAGCCUCUGGAAGUGUCCUGCCAGGUCAGGGAAGUGGGACUGCUAUGGGAGGUCAGGAGAGGAGGUCCCUGUGGGAGGCGUACUUUCCAAAAAUGGCCUCAGGAGCAUUUCCAGGUCCACACACUGGAAACUUGUCAUUCUCCAUCGAGAGAUGGAGUCUAUUGCCCCACUCCUUGAAACUGGGCAAAACUUUGUGACUGGCUCAAUGAGCAGAAUGCAGCAGAAUCGUCAUCCCACAACUUCCCAGGCUAAAUCUACGAAGGGAAUACAGCUUCCACCUGUCUGUUUGUCUGUCUGCCUGCCUGUCUCUGUCUCUGGAAUCCAGCCACCAUAUUGUGAGGAAGCCCAGGCCAUAUGAGAAGGACACUAUGGGUGCUCUUGCCAACAGCCUCAGUUAAGGUCUUGGCCAGUGACCAGCUUCAGCCACUGGACACAUGCAUGAACGACUCUUCAAACGAUUCCAGGUCCUGACUACAACCAAGCCAGGUCACGUCAAGCAGAGCAGAGGCGAAUGAUGCCCUCUGAGCCUCCCCAAAUGCAGGUUUGAGAACAAAGUAAACGUCCCUGUUUCAAGCGCUAAGUUUCUGGUACUCAGCACUGGGUAACAGGAACCGCCCUCCUGCCCUGCAGCCCUCCAAGCCACCCCAGCCAGCUCUGGAUGCCGUCACAUGGACAACCCUCCCCACGGCCCAGCGAGGAAGGACGAGCAGGGAGAGCCGUGGCACAGAUGCAGAAACUGGGGCUCUGAGAGAGAGGAAGUGACUUUCCCAGAGUCACACAGCAAGUGGCAGAGCUGGGACGCAAACCUUGGCUCCGCCACAAGCCCAUCCUCCGUGGGGACUUCUGAUUCUGAUGAUUCCCAAAGUUCCUCCAGAACCCACACCCUAUGCCAGGGUUCCUCCUGGCAGAUGAGUGAGGUCAGGCAGAGGGGAAGGGCAGGACAGCCCGAGCUCGGUGAACUGCACUCCAUCACUGCCCCAUGUGAGAGACAGGCUGACCCUGCUUGCUCUACCUCCACGUGGACUUGAGACCCUGCCAUAGCCCUCAAGGCCCUAGGAGGCCAAUGGCCUUCCUGGCCCUCCAGCCUCUUCUCCCCUUUUCCUCCUUUGCCCUGUGAGCUCCUGCCGUAUGGUUUUCUUUGCUUUCUUAAAUAUACCAGGCCCCCAGCUGCAGGGCCUUUGCACGUGCAGUUCCCUUAGCUUAGGAGCCACAGCCCCUUCCAUGUCCAUUCUUAACGCCUCUUCAUCCUUCCAUCAUUUUAAAUAACGGCUUUAUUGAGAUAUAAUUCAUAUAUCACACAUUCACCUAUUUAAAGUACAUAAUUCAGUGGUUUUUAGUAUAUCCACAGAUUUGGGUAACCAUCACCACAAACAAUUUUAGAAUAUUUGCACCCCCCUCCCCACCCCCACAAAGCCCUGUACUGGUUAGCAGUCACUGCCGCCACCUCCUCACUGUUUGGCAACCUCUAAUCUAAUCUCCGUCUCUAUGGAUUUUCCUAUUCUGGACAUUUUGUAUAAAAGGAAUCAUACACUAUGUGGUCUUUGAGACUGGCUUCUUUCGCUUAGCACAAUGUUUUCAGGAUUCAUCCAUGUUAUAGUAUAUGCCAGUCCUACGUCGCUCUUUAUUGCUGAACAAUAUUCCAUCGGAUGGACACACCACAUCUUGUUUAUCCAUUCCUCAGUUGAUGGACAUUGGGUUGUUUCCACUUUUUGGCUAUUAUGAAUAAUGCUGCUAUGAAC